rnacentral:rRNA from 1 species
UCCAUAGGUUAAUGAGGCGAACCGGGGGAACUGAAACAUCUAAGUACCCCGAGGAAAAGAAAUCAACCGAGAUUCCCCCAGUAGCGGCGAGCGAACGGGGAGGAGCCCAGAGCCUGAAUCAGCAUGUGUGUUAGUGGAAGCGUCUGGAAAGGCGCGCGAUACAGGGUGACAGCCCCGUACACAAAAGCGCAUGUGCUGUGAGCUCGAUGAGUAGGGCGGGACACGUGGUAUCCUGUCUGAAUAUGGGGGGACCAUCCUCCAAGGCUAAAUACUCCUGACUGACCGAUAGUGAACCAGUACCGUGAGGGAAAGGCGAAAAGAACCCCGGCGAGGGGAGUGAAAAAGAACCUGAAACCGUGUACGUACAAGCAGUGGGAGC